UGUACUAUAUACAGCCCUGACUCCUGCACACGGUGUCUGGGGUCGUCUGGCCAGCUGGAGUGAGGAGGGGAUGGUGCUAAGGACCACAAGAGGGAGGGAGGCAGAAAGUGGGCUCCUAGGAGGGUGCCCUGCUGCUUCCAUGGUGACCUCAGAAGGAGGGAGUCAUCUAUAUCCUUCAAGAGCCUGAUUGGACCAUUCUGUGUCAGAGCACCUCAGGCACACCAGCACCAGGUUCUGCCCAGCCUUGGGGGGACGCCUCAUCGGACAAAUAGAUCCCUAGAGACAAGCCUUGUGAGGGGGAGAUAGGAAUGGAAUACAGAAAGUCGGUGCACCAUCAUUCUAUCUUACCUAUGGUUGUCAAGGUUACCAGAGCCUCGUGUUUCUUAGUAACCACUCCUCCCAAAAUAGCCUCCACUGGUGCCAGCCAGCGAAUUGCAUCCUGCAUCCCAGUCAUGUUUUACACGGUUCUGAGGGGAAGACAAGAGGCCCCUUGCAUGGAGUAGCCUUCCAUAGAGAGCGCUCCUCCUGGACUUCAAGUAGAGCUUCGAGCACACUGAAUUUGCUUUAGCACUUGGGCAUCCCUGCUGGAGUGUGAGCCUAUUGCGACCCUCACUGCUGAAUGUGCCCUUUAUAGGAAAGGGUGAAUUUGUCCAAGACCAGUUUCCCGUGAGAAAGCAAAUUGGAAGGGGCAAAGAAAUUGCCAAAGGUCAAACUGAGCUGGGUAUGAGGACGCUGAGGCCCAUCUCUUGGCGCUGGGUCCCACUGUAGCCAGGCCACCCGGCCUGGAGACCCAGCACGAAGACUGUGACAGAGCCAUCCAUCAGGUGCUGGAGGAGAGGAAGCUCUGGAACCAGGUAAACACCCAGUGGCAAAUGGGUUGCUGAGAAGGUUGUGGUGUUAUGGGACACAGUGGCACAUGUCGCCCGGUUACUGUCCCAACCUUGACAGUAGACCAACCAGAGCUGGUCUUCUGUAGUUCUGGGUCGUAUGGUUGAGCCCCAUGGGCCACCACCAGGGAAAUCAGAACUCAGCUCCAUCCUCAGAUGUGAGCCCAGAGGUGGUCGGAGGAACCAGAAUCUGCGUGGCUCUGUGUGGUCUGUUUCCAGCUUCAUCCAUCAGUACCAGCCCACCUCCAAAAGACAGGUCUUCCUCUGCACAGACCACUCCCUCCCAGGUGAGACAGGCAUGCCAGGGGAGGGCCUCAGACCUCAGGGGCCAAAUCCAGCCCAGGCUCUUCCAGAGUGCUGAGUCUGCAGCCCUGCAGGGUUGGCCAGGUAUCUGGAAACACCUGUAUUCUGGCAGCGCCUUGAACCUAGAGACCACUCUGGGAGGUGGCUGGGGGCCCUCUACCUGCCUGGGGGGAUCACCGUCACACACCCCACAUGCCCACCUAAGUCAGGCAAAGGCCCUAAGCAAAUGCAGCCUCUUUCUCUUCCAACCUCUUCCCAAGAUUUUGGGGGUCCCAUCCACGCCCCCUGUAGGGGAAAUUCAAGAACCACCACUCCUUCCGCAUAUCUCUCAGCUAUACCGAUUACUGCAAAUUAAUUAUUAGCUUCAAAAAACAUAUUUUCUACUAGAGCAUGAACCCAGCUCCCACACCCAGGGCAGAGAGUGUGUGUGUGAGCUUUCCAUUGGAGCUCGAUAAAUAUUUGAAUAAAUAAAGGGCUGCUCUAAAGCCCAUUAAGCUUCCACCAAGAUGCAAUUUGAACAUAACCCGGAGGUUAACUAGGGAGCAACCGAGAAAGGCAGGAAUAUGAGUCGGGAUUGGAACACAGAUACGGGGUGUGUGUAGAAGGGAGGGUGCUGUAUUACACACAUGGUACAGAAAUUUAGCCCUUGCACCAGGCAGGCCUCACAUCACAUCUCAGCUCCAUCAUUACCAGUUGUAUGACCAGAACAUGCGAAGUGAGGCGUGUGGGCUGUGACAGGCUGUGGGGGUUCCGACCCCCAACUUUGCACCUGCCGGCUGAGUGAUCUUGAUGGAUUACCUGACACCUUAUUCCUUCGGAGAGUCGCAUAUGGGAGUUAAAUGAGCAAAGUGCAAAGCGCUCAGAAAGUACUUGGCUCAUGGCACGCUUAAAAUAAAUAUU